rnacentral:rRNA from 1 species
CCUACGGGAGGCAGCAGUGGGGAAUUUUGGACAAUGGGGGCAACCCUGAUCCAGCCAUGCCGCGUGUGUGAAGAAGGCCUUCGGGUUGUAAAGCACUUUCGGACGGAACGAAAUCGCGCGGGUGAACAAUCCGCGUGGAUGACGGUACCGUAGGAAGAAGCACCGGCUAACUACGUGCCAGCAGCCGCGGUAAUACGUAGGGUGCGAGCGUUAAUCGGAAUUACUGGGCGUAAAGCGUGCGCAGGCGGCGCCGCAAGUCAGGCGUGAAAUCCCCGAGCUUAACUUGGGAAUGGCGCUUGAAACUACGGUGCUGGAGUGUGGCAGAGGGAGGUGGAAUUCCACGUGUAGCGGUGAAAUGCGUAGAGAUGUGGAGGAACACCGAUGGCGAAGGCAGCCUCCUGGGCCAACACUGACGCUCAUGCACGAAAGCGUGGGGAGCAAACAGGAUUAGAUACCCUGGUAGUCCACGCCCUAAACGAUGAUGACUAGUUGUUGGGGGAGUUAAAUCCCUUAGUAACGCAGCUAACGCGUGAAGUCAUCCGCCUGGGGAGUACGGUCGCAAGAUUAAAACUCAAAGGAAUUGACGG